UACGGGGGGGGUAAGCGUUGUUCGGAAUUACUGGGCAUAAAGGGCUCGUAGGCGGCCAACUAAGUCGGACGUGAAAUCCCUCAGCUUAACUGGGGAACUGCGUCUGAUACUGGAUGGCUUGGAUUUGGGAGAGGGAUGCGGAAUUCCAGGUGUAGCGGUGAAAUGCGUAGAUAUCUGGAGGAACACCGGUGGCGAAGGCGGCAUCCUGGACCAACAUUGACGCUGAGGAGCGAAAGCCAGGGGAGCAAACGGG
rnacentral:rRNA from 1 species